AAGAAUUUUUAUCUGUUGUGUGAUCGUUCGCUUCUCCACGUCUUCGAAAACCAAAACCAAAACAAAAAAGAAAAUGCCCUUUUAGCCACGUCACCUUCCCAUUCUCUUUCUCUUCAGCUCUCCAUUUUUCAUAUCUAUCGCUUUACCCUCUCAAACUCAAUACAUUUUUCCUCAUUGAGACCAAAAUUUUCUCUCUCACAUGUAUAUGGCAUUUAAAUUGCAACAUAAAAGCUUAAUUUAUUCAAGCUCUUCAGAUCCGUGGCUAUUGCGUGAGCCAGUUAGAACCCGUUUUUCCUGCAAGCAAGUGGCUAGCUUGGAUCACCUCCUAAUAAAUUGGGGUAAUUCAAGUAAGAGAUGCUUUAUAAGGCUUGCUUUGUUAGAGAGCAAUAAUGUUGGCCUUAGCCACCGGUUGUUGGGAUAUAGGAAAACCUAUUUAACCUUUCAUAAAUCAAGAAGGAUGGCAAAACACCGUCCUCUUGCAUCCGCUGAUGAUGGUGUAACAGUCAAUGGGAGUCCCCCAGCAAGUACCAGUGGUGAUGUGGAGGGAAUGAGGGUCAAACUAAAUCAGUCACUACAAGCCGAAGAUAAUAGUGAUGGACUUGUCCAGACUUUACAUGAGGCUGCCAGGAUUUUUGAGUUAGCAAUCAAAGAACAAGGCUCAUUGUCAAAAAUAUCUUGGUUUUCAGCUGCCUGGCUUGGUGUAGACAGAAAUGCAUGGGUGAAAUCAGUGUCUUAUCAGGCUUCUGUGUAUUCCUUAUUGCAAGCUGCAAGUGAGAUUUCAUCCCGAGGUGAUCGUAGAGACAGGGAUAUAAAUCUUAUUGUUCAAAGGAGUUUAUUACGGAAAUCUGCUCCACUGGAGAGCUUAAUCCGGGAUAAAUUAUCAGCCAAGCAACCUGAAGCUCCUGAAUGGUUUUUUUCUGAGCAAGUUCCAGUGGUGGUGACGUCCUUUGUCGAUUAUUUUGAAGGGGAUGCACGCUUUACUGCUGCCACUGCUGUUUGUGGAAAAGGCACAUCAUUGGGAUCUGGGAAUGCAAGUGAUGUAUCAGUCCUCAUGCUUGCACUUACUUGCAUUGCUGCAAUUACAAAACUUGGUCCAGCAAAAGUUUCUUGUCCGCAAUUCUUUUCCAUGACUCCAGAAAUAACUGGUAGAUUGAUGGACAUACUGGUUGAUUUUAUUCCUAUACGCAAGGCUUAUCAUUCUAUGAAAGAUAUUGGUCUACACACAGAAUUUCUUGUUCAUUUCGGUCCUCGAGCUGCGGCAUGUAGAGUAAAUAACGAUUGGGGUUCAGAAGAGGUCUUUUUCUGGGUAAAUCUUGUACAGAAGCAGCUGCAACGAGCUAUAGAUAGGGAGAAAAUAUGGUCAAGACUGACAACAUCUGAAAGUAUUGAGGUUUUGGAGAAGGAUUUGGCGAUAUUGGGAUUCUUUAUUGCUUUAGGCAGAAGUACAAAGUCCUUUCUAUCUGCUAAUGGUUUUGAUGUUAUAGAUGAUCCUAUUGAAGGCUUUGUUAGUUACCUUAUUGGGGGCAGUGUUUUAUACUAUCCUCAACUUUCAUCAAUAAGUUCUUAUCAAUUGUAUGUUGAGGUAGUCUGUGAAGAGUUGGAUUGGCUUCCUUUUUAUCCAGGCAACUUUGGCACCCAAAAACAGUUGCACAGCCAUAAAAGUAAAAGAGAUGGCCCUCCCAAUGCUGAAGCUAUCCCUCAAGUAAUAGAUGUUUGCUCUCAUUGGAUGCAGAGCUUUAUCAAAUACAGCGAAUGGCUGGAGAACCCUUCUAAUGUUAAGGCAGCAAAAUUUCUGUCUAGAGGGCACAACAAGUUAAUGGAGUGCAAGGACGAAUUGCGGAUAUCGAAGAAUGAUAUGGUGGAAAGUAAAAGUAAGAAUUCUGUUGAGAGGAUUGGAUCUAAGACUAAUUUUCUGCCUGAGAAAUCAUUGGAUUCUUUUGACAAGGCAUUGGAGAGUGUAGAAGAAGCUCUUGUAAGACUAGAAAAAUUGCUUCAAGAGUUGCAUGUAUCAAGUUCUUCUUCUGGAAAAGAGCAUCUAAAAGCUGCUUGUUCUGACCUUGAGAAAAUGAGGAAGCUGAAAAAAGAGGCUGAAUUUUUGGAGGCAUCUUUUAGAGCAAAAGCAGCCUCCCUGCGGCAGGGAGAUGGUGACAGUCAUUCCCAGUCAAGUAUCAGCGGGCAGCAACAGUACUUGAAAGGGAAAAACAGGAAGAAUGCUAAUAUAGUGCCGGAUAGGAGCAACAGAAUUCUCAACAAACCUAUGUGGAGCUUCUUUAUGCCCCUUCCAGAUAAAAAGCCUGGCCCAGAGUCAAUUAUGGAUGGAUCCGAAAAUGAAUGUUUGGAGCAGACUACUUCAAAUAUAGAUAAUGCAGACUCAGAAUCAAAUGAAAUUCACCGUUUUGAACUUCUGAGGAAUGAGCUAAAAGAACUUGAAAAACGGGUCCAAAGAAGUGCUAAUCAAUCAGAAAAUGAGGAGGAGUUUAAUGUUACAGAUGAUGAUGAUAAUAAUCAGUGUGAUGUUAGAGGUUCUCAAUUGGUCCAGGUUCAGAAGAAAGAAAGUAUCAUCGAAAAAUCAUUAGUCAAGCUAAAAGAAACUAGCACGGAUGUCUUGCAAGGAACCCAGCUUUUAGCUAUUGAUGUUGCUGCUUCUAUGGGAUUGCUCAGAAGGGCCCUGGUAGGAGAUGAAUUGACAGAAAAAGAAAAGAAAGUUUUCAAAAGAACGAUGACUGACUUAGCAUCAGUUGUUCCAAUUGGCGUUUUGAUGCUUCUUCCGGUUACUGCAGUUGGGCAUGCAGCAAUGUUGGCUGCUAUUCAGAGAUAUGCACCAGCUCUGAUACCAUCCUCAUAUGGACCUGAAAGAUUGGAUCUCUUGAGGCAACUUGAGAAAGUUAAGGAGAUGGAAACCAGUGAAGAUAAUUCGAAUGAAAAUGGGGAGGAACUAGCCUGACUAGAAGCCAAUGCAAAUUUUGUACAGCUGUCAAAAUUGAAACACUAUUUUUAAUCAUGAGGUAAGCACCAAUGACUGCAGUCUUGUGGAGAGGGAGUUGGAGUGCCUGGCUCGCGAUACUUUGAAGGGUGACCAUCAAACCUAAAUCCUGUUAGAUAUGUGAUGUUUAAGAACUGGAUACUCCUGUUUCCAUAAUCCAUCUGUUUGACUACAUUGGAAAUGAAUUCAUUAUUUAAUGGCUCCGCCUCCAGAUUUGUGAGGUUUGUUUCUGGUUCUGUGUCUGUAUGACACAGGCCCCCGGUAUCCCAGGUGCCAUUCCUGCAAUUUAUGUAUGAAAAGCUUGGGUCAGAGCUUAUAAUUAAGGCCUUCCGGCUAUUAUUGUCCUCCCCUCAUUUCUUUUUGAAUUGCAGAAAAUGAGUGCAUAGGAUUCAAGCAUGUAGAUGAGAGAAAAAACUUAAUAGUAUCAGGUGCUGGCCUUCAGUUCACUAAUCUAAUUCAAUUCAAGUUCUGUAAUGAUGAUAUAGUAUCAAGGUUCUAUUGUAUGUUUUAAUUCGAAUGAAAUAGAUAUUUACUGAGACU